GAUAAACGCUGUCGGCGUGCUUAACACAUGCAAGUCGAACGGAAAGUCCCAAGCUUGUUUCGUUACUCUAGUGCCACACGUGUGUGUAACACGUUGCUGAUCUGCCCCUCACUUCGGGAUAAGCCUGGGAAACUGGGUCUACUACCGGAUAGGACCACUCCUUGGAGGUUGUGCUGGACAGUUUUUUCGGUGUGGGAUGAGCUCGCGGCCUAUCAGCUUGUUCGUGGGGUAAUGGCCUACCAAGGCGUCGACGGGUAGCCGGCCUGAGAGGGUUUACGGCCACAUUGGGACUGAGAUACGGACCAGACUCCUACGGGAGGCAGCAGUGGGGAAGAUUGCACGAGGGGAGCAAGUCUGAUGCAGCGAUGCAGGGUGGGGGAGGACGGCCUUCGGGUUGUAAACUGCUUUUGGUAGGGACGAAGAGCAAGUGACGGUACCUAGAGAAGAAGCACCGGCUAGCUACGUG
rnacentral:rRNA from 1 species